GACAGAGGCCCCGAGCGUUAGGCGGAAUCACUGGGCUUAAAGCGUGUGUAGGCGGAUCGUUAAGUGUCUUGUGAAAUCCCACGGCUCACCCGUGGAACUGCUGGGCAUACUGGCGAUCUUGGGCCAUUCAGGGGCGACUGGAACAAGCGGUGGAGCGGUGAAAUGCGUAGAUAUCAUUUGGAACGCCAAUGGUGAAAACAGGUAGCUGGGGCUGUGCUGACACUGAGACACGAAAGCCAGGGGAGCAAACGGG
rnacentral:rRNA from 1 species